UACGGGGGGGGGUAAGCGUUGUUCGGAAUUACUGGGCGUAAAGGGCUCGUAGGCGGCCAACUAAGUCGGAUGUGAAAUCCCCAGGCUUAACCUGGGAACUGCAUCCGAUACUGGAUGGCUUGAAUCCGGGAGAGGGAUGCAGAAUUCCAGGUGUAGCGGUGAAAUGCGUAGAUAUCUGGAGGAAUACCGGUGGCGAAGGCGGCAUCCUGGACCGGCAUUGACGCUGAGUGAGCGAAAGCCAGGGGAGCAAAGCGGG
rnacentral:rRNA from 1 species